rnacentral:rRNA from 1 species
UACAGAGGUCUCAAGCGUUGUUCGGAUUCAUUGGGCGUAAAGGGUGCGUAGGCGGCGUGGUAAGUCGGAUGUGAAAUCUCGGAGCUUAACUCCGAAACUGCAUUCGAUACUGCCGUGCUUGAGGACUGGAGAGGAGACUGGAAUUUACGGUGUAGCGGUGAAAUGCGUAGAGAUCAUGAGGAAGACCAGUGGCGAAGGCGGGUCUCUGGACAGUUCCUGACACUGAGACACGAAGGCCAGGGAGCAAACGGG